rnacentral:lncRNA from 1 species
AAUAUGAGUAUUAAUUUUAAGAAAAAUCAAAUAAUCACUAAAAUCACCAAAUCACUAAUUACAGAUUACAUACCACCACACAACGAGGCAAUUACAAACACACAGUUACCCAUUGCCAUCUGUCGAGUUACUACAGACACUNCGAGUCGUAACAUCAAAGAAUAUGAGUAUUAAUUUAGUAUAACAAAAAUCAAAUAAUCACUAAAAUCACCAAAUCACUAAUUACAGAUUACAAUUUACAUACCACCACACAACGAGGCAAUUACAAACACACAGUUACCCAUUGCCAUCUGUCGAGUUACUACAGACACUCAACAUAUUCCAAUCAUAACUAAAAUCAAUUUUAAAAUACGGGAAAACAAUUCCAAAUUAAUAAACGAAAAGGUAAAUUCGAAAGAAAAAAAAAAGAGCUGCAAUCUUCACUUGCAUUUCAAAUUCUGAACAGCGCGAGUCUUUGUAUCAACAUCCAUGGUGCAAUCCAUGGUGGCCGUCUUCUUCCGCUUGAUAACCUUAAGCAGAUGAAUCUUCCCUUCCAACGUUGCAUGGCUAGACAACGUUAUCUUACCCGAGCUGAAGUCGCCGCCCAAAUUCCGGUCAUUCUUCGACUCCGCCGCCACCGUCACGUUCAGCUUCUUCGUAGACCGCGCCUUCGCCCGGCCUCUGGGAAUCUGGGUGGUGCCGACGGCGUUUCCCCGGUAAAGAAACGUGACGGUGCUGUCGGGAUAUUUGAAGUGCCCGAAAUUCGCGUUCUUCACUGCCACUUGGCCGUUGAGUUUGAUGUUGAACGACGCCGAGUUCGCCGUUAGAUUGUCGACGGUGACGGAGUGGAAACGGAGUUUGGGGGUUUUAAUACGCAUAAAUAUCAAAACGAAGGCUACUAUGAUUAGGGUUUGUAGAAUGAUUCCGACGGCAAUGUAGAUUAAACAUCUUCUACGUUUUGCGGCAGGGUUGCUUAGUGGAGGCAUUUUUAGGUCUUUCCUUUGAGGGAAAUAUUUGAUGAGUUUUGGGAGAUGGGAUGAAGGAGAUGAGAGGGGAAAGAACUUUAGUGACAAUUUUAUACCAACUGAAAAAGUUGGUGUGUAAUAUCCUUUAGCAAAGGGCCGGCCAGCUAAUUAGUAGAGCGCUUUAGCUUUUUAAGGUGUCUGAACCAAUUUGAGAGAUAAAG